UGGUCUACUCUGGCCUCCAAUCGGGAGGUCUGGAGACACACUAUCUAUGUCACUGCUGCUUCUUUUGAGAAUGCAUGCAGGAUCACUCUUGAGGAGAAAAGACAAUGCAGAAAGAAUCGUGUCUUGCUGAUACCGAGUUUUUCUGCUGUGCCUUUUGCAACCAGACGUGUCUAUCUCACAUUGGCCUCUCUAGCCCCAGCGUGCUUGUAGCAAAUGUGGGUAGAGUCCUUCCCAAAUCUUUGUUCACGAAGCCUAGCCAUGAUGUUAACAAUAAAACAGCUGACCUCCUUGACAGUAAGAGUGAUAGUGCUAUCAGGAAAACUGUCAUUUCCCUGCUGUAACAAGAAUAUAAAUCUCUCACAGUAUGUUCAGGCUGGGUUUGAAACUGAAAUACCAGAUAGCAGCAUCUAAUACAGCAGGUUCCCUCCCGAGCAUCAAGAAGCACUUUUUUACUGUGAGGGUGAAUGAGCACUGGCACAGGUUGUUCAGAGAGCCUGUGGAGAUUCCAUCCUUGGAGAUAUUCAGAAGUUGUCUGGACAUGCUCCUGCACAAACAGCUUUGGGUGGCCCUGCUUGAGCAGCGGUGUUGGACCAGAUGACGUCCUGAUGACUCUGCCAACCUCAGCCAUUUUGUAAUUCUGUGAGAUUUCUGUAGCAGAUGUCAGAUCUGGAAAAGAUAGGAGCAGAUUUCCAGCACUCUUCAGUUAAUGCACUUAACUGAUGGAAAAAGCUGUAGGUAGUUUUCCUUCAGGCAAAAAUCAUUUGGGAAGGUGUGGUGUGGUAUUGGCUGGAGAAUCCUAAGAGUUCUGAUAUCAGAAUUGGGAUUUUAAAAGGUUGUUCUACAUUUACUAAGAAAGAGACAUGAGGACUUAACUGGGAUAUACAGAUUUAGGAGGCUUUAUGACUCUUCUGCAGUCACUGUAUGAGCAGAUAACAUUUUGUACCCUUAGGAACUGAACUACUGGUCUCAUUAUCAUUGCAAAGUUAAUCACCAUUCCCAUCUAUCUGUACAGAAAUCUUUUUUAGGAAAAACAUAUAAUAUUUUCUGUAAUCUAAAUGAUUUAUAAUACUGAGAAAAGACUUUGCUCGAGUUUAUUUUCCUUGAAAACUUUCUGUUAUCAUUACCAGUCUCAUAAUGCAUUGUUUUGUAGGUGUAAACAAUUUAAGAGUUAUACAUCCAUACACUACUCCUGAGUGUCACACUUCAGACACAUGCAGUAUGAAUGUGGACUCUUUGACAGCAAAGAAUAAAAUUAUGCAAAGUGUAAAUUUAAUCUUUGCCUAGUGAUUGCCAAAAUUGUGAUAUUGACACUUAACAAUAAGCUAGGUGUCAUAAGUAUUGAUAUAGGACAAUUAAAAUACUGAUGCUCUUGAGCACAUUCUACAGGGAAAAAAAAUGCAGACAACAAAACAUCCAACUGACUAAUUUUUCUAGAUAUGCCAUACGGGGAAAAAAUACAAAGAACUAAAAAAGAAGUCCGUGGUUUACCAGCAGAAGGGCUAUGAUCUCAUUGUAUGAGAAGCAGAAGAGGAUGCAGUUCUUUCUGGGAAGGCACUAGUCAUCUUGGUCCUAGAUUUUGGGGUGAUUUUACAAUAUCUGGUUGAGUAAAUUAAAUUAAAAAAUUACAGUGCCCAUGUGGAGGGGAGAGGAACCUUUUUUUGUUUUAAUACUUCCUACCGUCUGGUAUGUUCAAAAGGACACUUUUUUUUGAAGAAAAACUAUCUGGGGAUGCAGCAAGCACAUUACAUUACUGCAGUGUGACAGUCCACAGCUGAGGCUGCCAGAGCCCCUGAGCGUUCACACUCACUGUACAUUAGUUCCCUCCCUGGCUCUCUUUUGGAGUGAGCUAAGUAUGGGGGCAGCUCUGGCAUAGUGCACCCUGUAGAUGUGCUUUGCCUCACAAUAUAUAUCCAUCCCACUCCAGAGCACACAAAACAUAUAACAGAAGUCAUAGCAUGGUGCAGAUCCCAGCUACUUAUUUUAAAGACCUAUGAAAUAUCUGCAUUUAACAGACUGCUUGGAACCUUUGUGUUAUUAAAAACACACAGCUGACUGCGGGCACUUUAGGAAGCUAUGGCAGGACAUGCAGGGAACCACAACUCUGGUUCAUCCGCUGUUGGAUGAUGAGCAAACAUGUCCUGUGCAUUAUAUCCCAGCAAAGAGGCACAGGGCCUGCCCACAUGCAGGUAAUGUUUCCAAAUAUUCCUCAUGAAGGUGUGCUGAGUGGCUUAAGAUAGAGAAAGGGAAUUUAUUACUUCCAGGUGUGUAGGAAGGGAUUUCUCCAGGUCAGGGGAAGGUGUUUUGUGUCCUGCAACAUGAGAAAAACUGUGGCACUAUUUCCUAGCAUGGAUAACCUCACCAAAAACAGUGCAUGAUAACCCUUUGAGGAGAGGUCUGGUGUGAGGGCACCACUCAGGCUCACCAAAAUUGUCUCAUAGUUUAGCGGCUUAGGAUACUGAGCCCUACUGAAAGUCAAUGAACUUGAGCUCUUAAGUUGAUUAUGUGCUACUGCCCUGCUGCAGAAAACAGAUUGCUCAGUACAAUCUUCUUGAUGUUAGUUCUUCUUACUAGCAUACAUUGCAACUUCACCUCAUAACUAAAGAGGUCUACUUUUAUUGUUAAAGACAUUUGAAAAUUACCACUGCUAGAUCAGAUGCAAGGACUUCCUGGACUGUAAAUGGACAGAUAUAGCCUACUUUGACUCUGUUUUUUUUUAAGGUGAGCAUUUCAUAGAGAACAGAUUGCUCUUACAUUUGGCAACUGUCCAGGGGACAGGCUUUCUAUAUAUAUAACACACCUAAUUCAUAACCAUGCAGCUAAUAUGUACUUGUUAUCUAGGGGAUUGAAUUUAUGCACCUAACGCUUUGUAACACUAAUUGCUCUGUUGUAGGUUGCAAUGUAAGUCCUCUGUGCAUAGGGAAGAAAAUAGAUUUCUUGCUUACCUGCAAGUUAGUCGAACACAAGAUUAAAUUUAUGCAGAGAAAAACUCUCUCUUGAUCAUACAGCGCUAAAAUGUAACUUCAAGGCUCAGCUUGAAGAGAGGGUAAUGCAGAACAAUUUGUCCCAGAGGGAGAACUGUGAGGCAUUCUGCAUCUUGGAAAUGCUUGAAAGUAUUUCAGUGCCUGAGACUCUCACUAUACAAGAAGAGUGUACCUGCAUAUAAAAGGCAGACAGCCCAUGUCUCACUACCCAGCAUCUUUGUUUGGUAACCUGGCAUAACCUGGUGAUUAAAGAGAGCUUGUCUCUCCUCAAGUAGCACUGACAUCUUGGGGAACAACACCUGCAGGGCGUUAGGGAACAGAACAGGAGGGGUGAGUAUUUUCUUUAACUAGUUUCUUUGGUGAAAGGUUGGCUUUUGCAAGACACCCUCAAAACCAGAUAGAAAGUAGCCUCUUGCAUUGCAUCCUCCCCCUUUCCAUCUUCUCCCUUUCCAUCCUCUCCUUUUUCACAGUCUCCCUUUGCAUCCCCACAUAAGAAUCAGGAAGACUUCAGCUUACAGGGAUUCUCAUGUAUAUGCUGACUUCUUAAAAAGGAGCAAUAAAAAAAAUGGCCCCUCAUACAGCAAAAUCAGGAUAGUGGAGAUGAAAGAAAUUAGAAAAUAAAGCAUAUUUCAUUUGGACCAUUUUGGGACCCUUAGGCAAUUUUGUUUCUUCCACACACAUCCCCACACAGAGCUUUAAAGAGAGAGCAAGAGGGACAGUAAAUAAAAAGGACAGACUCUUUCUUCCUCCCUUUUAAUUUCAUACUAUGCUACAGCAACUCGUGCCAGAACUAAAGCCAAAAUACAAAUUUGAAAUUUUUAUUUUAACAUACAAAAAUUAUAGGUAUUCUGAACUGAUUUUUUUUUUUUUGCAGGAACUUAGAGAAGAAGAGCAUUUUGAGAUGGUUCAACAUCCACUGCUCCAUCUUUGGAGAAGCUUCAACCACAAGAAGAGUGGAUUAAAGAGAGCUGUGGAAGAAUACAGGAAGUGUCUGAGAAAGGAAGAACAAAGCCACUCUGGGACAUCACAAAAGGAGUGUGACAGUUUGAAUUCCUGACUGAACAGCUUAGAAGUCACAAGGCAAUGGGCACAACAACACAGGAGGUUUCAUCUGAACAUCAAAAAACACUUUUUCACUGUGAGGGUGACUGAGCACUGGUACAGGUUGCCCAGGGAGACUGUGGAGACGUCAUCCUUGGAAAUAUUCAGAAGUUGUCUGGAUGUGAUCCUGGGCAAUUGGCUCUAGGAUGCCCUGGCUGAGCAGACGUACUGAACCAGAUGACCUCCAGAGGUCCCUUCCAACCUCAAUCAUUCUGUGGUUCUGAGAGACACAGCUAUCAGAACAACUAGAAAAGAGCUAAUUUAACAAUUGCUAGGUAACACCACCUAAUAGGUAUGCAUUUGCAAUUCACAUGAGGAACUGUUUCCCACUGACCUUCAAGUGUAACCUCAGCUAGAGUAUAACUAUAGAUCAGCAGGAACCUCAAAACUGGAAAGUUACAAGUUGCGUGUAGAAAGUGGAAUUUAAGAGAAACUGUCUAGCUAUGGAAACAGAUCUGACGGAUCCUCAGGAAAAAACCCAAAACUUAUGUCCAAGAAAUCACAAACCAAUUAAGGUUUUACCCAAAAUACAGUUCCUACAAAGGACUGGUGAAGCAAAGUUUUUUCCACUGUUCAAGGUUGGUAAAACUGUCAGCUCGGCAUGAAGAGCAUGGUUGUCCAAAUUCCUUCAAAAUAUUCCUGUUAUAACCUUUCAGUCAUAAUGAGUGAGAAAAAGAAACUAUGAAUUAAAAAUUGUAUUUGAGAGAAGAGGAACUGUCUGAAGGUCUCAGCAAGGUUCAAACAAAGCAGUUUAUCUGUUCAUCUAUUCUCCAUUCUUGCAAGGUCUAAGCAUACCUCACGGGGCAAGGUGUUCCUGAGGGAUAUAUGGGCAGCAGUAGAACAUUUUCCACUCCUAGGGAAAGGAAAAAGGCUACUGCAUUUAUGUGUUUUCUUCAGGAUAGUACUGAGGACUUUGGAGGACAUUUUGCCAGAAAUCUUCUAGAAAAAAAAAGACGUUUGGAGGAGCGGCUUGUUGGUUUUUUCCCCAAGUGUAAGUAUAUGAAAUACCCCAUACUGAAGGUCCUGUUUGGUGGCGGAAGAAGGAAUUAUUCUAUAAAUCAAGGAAGCUUCUGGUCCUUGGUCUAAGAGAGUGCAUGUGGUGGAAGUCUGUGUAGUGGAGGCUAGCUGUGGAGCUGGACCUCUGCAGGCAUCAGGAAACCAGCCGAAAUCACAGACUGGGUUCACAAGAGCAUAAGGAACAGGGAGAAAGGCAGCAGCUGCUCAGUUUGCCAUCUGGAGUCUUAGGAACAUAGGGUACACAUCUGUGUUUCUGAAUGCUUAUCAUCAUCACAUGCUUUGUCCUGAAAUUGCUUCAAUACGUACCAGAGAUGUACUGAGGUUAUCUCCAGCUAAUCCAAGUAUACAGAUCUGCAGUGGGUAACUUUGUGCCUGUCUUCCCUUAAAGGCAGCAAGCAGGACUUGCUUUAGAGACUGCGCACAUCCCUCCCUCCUGGUGCAGUUGGAACUUUAGCCCAUAUCUGAGUCACCCAGCACUGCAGUGUCAUCUCCUGUGGUCAAGUGAUGACAUCUUCCACUCAUGAAAAGUGAUCCAUGGGUAACUAUUUCCUCUACUUUUUCAGAAAGGAAGCCAGUUGGACAUCAGUCUCUGAACUCCUUCGUUUGGCCACGGGUGAAGAGAGCUGCACAACCAGGAGAUGACAAUCUGUAUUGUAAACAUAGACUCUGCCCUUUCCCUGCCUUGGUGUUGGUUCAGAAGCCAAGUGAAUGCUUGGACCUGUCACAGCAGGAAACUAUGAACCACAAGGACAAGGCACAUCUCCUUCAGCGUCCACUCAGAGUUUGUAGAAGAAGAAAAGCUAGACCUAGAAUCAUGUCCGUCUUGGCCCCUCUCCAAGCAUCCUGGGAGUGUUAGAGGCAUCUAAGGAUAGAUAGGGCAGUGGUGCUACCUUCAAUUCUGGCUCUUUCUAGUCACCUGAAAUGGAAGGCGCUGUUGAACCAUCCUGCACAAGGGACAACCUGUGCAGGGCCACAUACCCAUUCUAGCUGGGAAAUUUAACUCAGGCUCUGCCUGGAGUGCUCGCUGUCUCACUGUGACUCUGGCCAUGAAUAGCAAUAUAUUGUAAUGGCUCUUCUCAUCUGUCUUCAGAAAUAUUCAGCACCCAGUUUUGGGAUGUGCUGUCAAAUGCAAACCCAAAAUUAUUAAAAGUGACUACUGACACUGUGCAUGUGCUUUUGAGCAAUUGUCCUAAGGUGAUUAAACGAAAUUUAUUUCUUUAGAAAAAGAAAAAGCAGCAACAAAAUAUGUAUUUUUGUAUUUAAUGCACAGAAACUAUAAUUAGAAAACUAAGCUUUAAGAUUUAUAAA